AUCUUUGCGCUUGGGGCAAUGAAGCAGUUAGUGAAAUGAAACCGAGACGCGUCAAUUGCUGGUUGAAAACUAUUUCCAUUUUACUAAAAAGUAGACAAUGAAAAAAAAAUUCCAAGACAAUUUAUGGAUAUUAAUGUUUAA
rnacentral:snRNA from 1 species